rnacentral:rRNA from 1 species
UGGGGAAUUGUUCGCAAUGGGCGCAAGCCUGACGACGCAACGCCGCGUGGAGGAUGAAGACCUUCGGGUCGUAAACUCCUUUCGAUCGAGACGAAUGGCCUCCGGGUGAACAAUCCGGAGGAGUGACGGUACCGAGAGAAGAAGCCCCGGCUAACUCCGUGCCAGCAGCCGCGGUAAUACAGGGGGUGCGAGCGUUAAUCGGAAUUACUGGGCGUAAAGGGCGCGUAGGCGGUCGAGUAAGUCGGAUGUGAAAUCCCCGGGCUUAACCUGGGAAUUGCAUUCGAUACUGCUUGGCUAGAGUGUGGAAGAGGGAAGCGGAAUUUCCGGUGUAGCGGUGAAAUGCGUAGAUAUCGGAAGGAACACCAGUGGCGAAGGCGGCUUCCUGGUCCAACACUGACGCUGAGGCGCGAAAGCGUGGGGAGCAAACAGGAUUAGAUACCCGUGUAGUCCCUGAGCGGGCUGGCAAGGCGCAU